rnacentral:rRNA from 1 species
AUUGAACGCUGGCGGCAGGCUUAACUCAUGCAAGUCGAGCGGGGGGAGGUAGCUUGCUACCGGACCUAGCGGCGGACGGGUGAGUAAUGCUUAGGAAUCUGCCUAUUAGUGGGGGACAACAUCUCGAAAGGGAUGCUAAUACCGCAUACGUCCUACGGGAGAAAGCAGGGGAUCACUUGUGACCUUGCGCUAAUAGAUGAGCCUAAGUCGGAUUAGCUAGUUGGUGGGGUAAAGGCCUACCAAGGCGACGAUCUGUAGCGGGUCUGAGAGGAUGAUCCGGCACACUGGGACUGAAACACGGCCCAGACUCCUCCGGGAGGCAGCAGUGGGGAAUAUUGGACAAUGGGGGGAACCCUGAUCCAGCCAUGCCGCGUGUGUGAAGAAGGCCUUAUGGUUGUAAAGCACUUUAAGCGAGGAGGAGGCUCUUUUGGUUAAUACCCAAGAUGAGUGGACGUUACUCGCAGAAUAAGCACCGGCUAACCCUGUGCCAGCCGCCGCAGUAA